ensembl:lincRNA
AGCAUUUGUCUCGUCUCAAGAAUUCCGGAUGUCAUGUUCAUGGAAGAUUAGAGCAUUUGAUGAGAUACUCAGGAACUUAAUAAGCCUUUCUCCCCACUAGCAGAUUAAUUUGUACCCCUCCUUUCUUUAAACUCUCCAGGUCCCCGAAUUAGCAACAGUCUCAAAAGAAGGAGAGAAAGAAAGGAAGAAAGAAAAAGAGGAAACCGUGAAUGAACAAAGGAAAGGGGAGAGGAAGGAGGAAGGGAGGAAAGGAAGGGAAAGAACAUUGCUUUCACUUUACAUUUCUUCUUCAUGUGCUUAGUCACUCAGCUGUGCCCGACUCUUCGCGACCCCACGGACCGAAGCCCACCAGACUCCUCUGUCCAUGGGAUUCUCCAGGAAAGAAUACUGGAGCAGGUUGCGAUUUCCUACUCCAUUCUUCUUCACAGAUUUUAGUUUAUUUUUGUGUGAAACCUGAGCCUAGAUCUUAACCAGAACACUAAGGGAAGUUCUUUAUUAAGUGAGGUGAUCAUCUAAAAAGUAGUUGCUGAUUAUUCAAAUCCUAAAUAAUUCAAAAAGUUACAUAGCCUAUCUAUCUUGAAGAUCUAUGUAUCUUCAUGUAUAACACCAGGAAGACUGUCCACUUCCCUUCCUUUGAGUUGGCGCAGUCCGCCUGUGUUCACUCUAAGCAGGUGUGUGACAGCCUGUUCGUGUAUGGAUACAGCAGAAACCAGAACAAGAAGCUACAGCCGGGGUUCCAGACUCUGUGGAGUCAGGCAAGGGAUCAAAGGAUCGUCCUCGACAGAGGAAGCAGAGUCCUAACCGCUGGACUGCCAGGUAAUUCCCAAGGCAUGCCUGAUCAUGGAAGAAGAGAGAUGUCGGAACGCGGUGAGAACACACAUUGGAUAAGCCAAGUGAAACUGACCGACGUCUUCAAGAGGAAGCUGGGAUGUCUAGAUUUCACCCGCAGAUUAGGAAGGGCAACAAACUUUGAAGCAGCUGGCAGCUUUAAGCCUCCCUCUUGAUCCUGCGGUAAAGUCACAAGAGUCUCGUUUUCAUCUUGGGCAGAUCUACUGAAUUUUACAUGCUGAACCAGACUCAGAAAAUGGGAUACAGGAACAUGCUGGAUAAAUGGAGACCCGAUCUUAAAGUCUGUGGUUCAGAGUUUGGAACCAAACCCACAUAUUUUGGUAUCAGGGCUUACUCCUUCUCGGCAAACAUGGCCUUCUGUUUUAAAGGGGUGGGGGUGGGGAGGCUUUAAAAAGCUUAUUAAAAAGUCUCAAAAUGCUUCUUCAACAUCAAAUAGCUCCUAGAAAAAUAUUUUGAUGAGUUAAGUGUAAAUGAAUCAGAAACAUAUGGAUUACAUUUCCUUUAGAUUACACAUGGGUUUCAGAAUUAAGGGAGGAAAGUGCUCAGGGCGAAAUGCAUUUUGGAUUUUAUUGAACCCAAAAUAUUUGAGAAAUAACUCAAGAUACACGAAGAACCCAAAAUCCUGCCAUGCUUCCCAAUCCCUUGUGUAAAGCAAAUUAGAUUUUAAAAUUCUUUCUGCUUUCAUGAUCUACGGUGUUACGUGAAAUGUGGAUGAAACACUCCUUUUCUAUAUAUGGUUUUUAUCCUGGAUAUUUUCACUUACAACUUUGGCAAAAAUAGAGACUUGGAGAAUACUGUAUGUUGGCUAAGUUGGCUGGAUGUCUCUCACUUUCUCUUUGCCCAGCCAGGUGACAAGAACACUUGACUUGUCUCAGGUAUAAUCAUGGAAUGAGGGGAUUAACCAAAGAGCUUCAGACCAUUUUACAGUAAAUGCUAACAGAUAGUAUUCAUGAUUUGCCAUUUGACAAUUAGUUUUCCACUUAUUUGUU